AAAAAAAAGCCAUGUUUAACCACUAUUGAAAGGUUCCCAUACGUGUCAUCCUUAUGUCAUUAUCUGUUUUCAUAGCAUCUAAAUUCAUCAGAAUGCUCAUUGCAUGAAUAGUGUUAUAUCUUGAUAAGUACACCAAUGGGAUUCUCCACAUAUUUUUCUGCCAGCUAAAUCAAUGUAGAUUUGUCUACUAUGAGUUUAAUGAUUUGAAGAAGGUUUUGCCAAAAGAGUUAAAUAAAAAACCAAACAAGGACCAAGAUCAGGAGAAUUCUCAAGGUGAAGAAACAGAUCCCAAAAUGAGUUUUAGGAGGAAAGCAAUAAGAGAGGGAAAUUCACCUGAUUUUUAAAUUUUCAGUCUCAGAAACUUCAUAAUUACAUUCUUCUGUGAAACUAAUACUUCAAAUAAACUGGAAUGUGUUAUGCCAACAAUA